GGAUCCAGACUUUGAUUAUGGCUCAGGAUGAACGCUGGCGGCAUGCCUAAGACAUGCAAGUCGAACGAGACGACCUUCGGAAGACCGAAGUGCUUGCACUGAAGUAAGAAGAAGAUCAUCGUCUAGUGGCAGACGGGUGAGUAACACGUGGGUAACCUACCUUCAAGCUGGGGAUAACAGUUGGAAACGACUGAUAAUACCGAAUAAGAUAUAGCAAUAUAUUGAAAGGAGCCUUUAAAGCUCCACUUAAAGAUGGGCCUGCGGCGUAUUAACUAGUUGGUGAGGUAAUGGCUCACCAAGGUAACGAUGCGUAGCCGAACUGAGAGGUUGAGCGGCCACACUGGGACUGAGACACGGCCCAGACUCCUACGGGAGACAGCAGUUAGGAAUAUUCGUCAAUGGGGGAAACCCUGAACGAGCAAUGCCGCGUGAGUGAUGAAGGCCCUAUGGGUUGUAAAACUCUGUUGUAUGGGAAGAACGGCCAUAUAAGGAAAUGUAUAUGGAGUGACGGUACCAUACCAGAAAGCUCCGGCUAACUACGUGCCAGCAGCCGCGGUAAUACGUAGGGAGCGAGCGUUAUCCGGAUUUAUUGGGCGUAAAGCGUGCGUAGGCGGUUUAUUAAGUUUAAGAUAAAAGCCCGGGGCUCAACUCCGGUUCGUCUUAAAAACUGGUAGGCUUGAGUGUGGUAGAGGUAAAUGGAAUUUCUAGUGUAGCGGUGAAAUGCGUAGAUAUUAGAAGGAACACCAGUGGCGAAGGCGAUUUACUGGGCCAUAACUGACGCUAAGGCACGAAAGCGUGGGGAGCAAAUAGGAUUAGAUACCCUAGUAGUCCACGCCGUAAACGAUGAGUACUAAGUGUUGGAAUUUCCAGUGCUGAAGCUAACGUAUUAAGUACUCCGCCUGAGUAGUACGGUCGCAAGGCUGCAACUCAAAG
rnacentral:rRNA from 1 species